AUUGAACGCUGGCGGCAUGCCUUACACAUGCAAGUCGAACGGUAACGGGCCUUCGGGUGCCGACGAGUGGCGAACGGGUGAGUAAUGCAUCGGAACGUACCUUUCAGUGGGGGAUAACGUAGCGAAAGUUACGCUAAUACCGCAUAUUCUGUGAGCAGGAAAGCAGGGGAUCGCAAGACCUUGCGCUGAUUGAGCGGCCGAUGUCAGAUUAGGUAGUUGGUGGGGUAAAGGCUCACCAAGCCGACGAUCUGUAGCUGGUCUGAGAGGACGACCAGCCACACUGGGACUGAGACACGGCCCAGACUCCUACGGGAGGCAGCAGUGGGGAAUUUUGGACAAUGGGCGCAAGCCUGAUCCAGCCAUUCCGCGUGCAGGAUGAAGGCCCUCGGGUUGUAAACUGCUUUUGUACGGAACGAAACGGUUCUCUCUAAUACAGGGGGCUAAUGACGGUACCGUAAGAAUAAGCACCGGCUAACUACGUGCCAGCAGCCGCGGUAAU
rnacentral:rRNA from 1 species